rnacentral:rRNA from 1 species
UUUUAUGGAGAGUUUGAUCCUGGCUCAGAGUGAACGCUGGCGGCGUGCCUAAUACAUGCAAGUCGAACGAUGAAGCUUCUAGCUUGCUAGAGUGCUGAUUAGUGGCGCACGGGUGAGUAACGCAUAGGUCAUGUACCUCUUAGUUUGGGAUAGCCAUUGGAAACGAUGAUUAAUACCAGAUACUCCCUACGGGGGAAAGAUUUAUCGCUAAGAGAUCAGCCUAUGUCCUAUCAGCUUGUUGGUAAGGUAAUGGCUUACCAAGGCUAUGACGGGUAUCCGGCCUGAGAGGGUGAACGGACACACUGGAACUGAGACACGGUCCAGACUCCUACGGGAGGCAGCAGUAGGGAAUAUUGCUCAAUGGGGGAAACCCUGAAGCAGCAACGCCGCGUGGAGGAUGAAGGUUUUAGGAUUGUAAACUCCUUUUGUUAGAGAAGAUAAUGACGGUAUCUAACGAAUAAGCACCGGCUAACUCCGUGCCAGCAGCCGCGGUAAUACGGAGGGUGCAAGCGUUACUCGGAAUCACUGGGCGUAAAGAGCGCGUAGGCGGGAUAGUCAGUCAGGUGUGAAAUCCUAUGGCUUAACCAUAGAACUGCAUUUGAAACUACUAUUCUAGAGUGUGGGAGAGGUAGGUGGAAUUCUUGGUGUAGGGGUAAAAUCCGUAGAGAUCAAGAGGAAUACUCAUUGCGAAGGCGACCUGCUGGAACAUUACUGACGCUGAUUGCGCGAAAGCGUGGGGAGCAAACAGGAUUAGAUACCCUGGUAGUCCACGCCCUAAACGAUGGAUGCUAGUUGUUGGAGGGCUUAGUCUCUCCAGUAAUGCAGCUAACGCAUUAAGCAUCCCGCCUGGGGAGUACGGUCGCAAGAUUAAAACUCAAAGGAAUAGACGGGGACCCGCACAAGCGGUGGAGCAUGUGGUUUAAUUCGAAGAUACACGAAGAACCUUACCUAGGCUUGACAUUGAGAGAAUCCGCUAGAAAUAGUGGAGUGUCUAGCUUGCUAGACCUUGAAAACAGGUGCUGCACGGCUGUCGUCAGCUCGUGUCGUGAGAUGUUGGGUUAAGUCCCGCAACGAGCGCAACCCCCUUUCUUAGUUGCUAACAGGUCAUGCUGAGAACUCUAAGGAUACUGCCUCCGUAAGGAGGAGGAAGGUGGGGACGACGUCAAGUCAUCAUGGCCCUUACGCCUAGGGCUACACACGUGCUACAAUGGGGUGCACAAAGAGAAGCAAUACUGCGAAGUGGAGCCAAUCUUCAAAACACCUCUCAGUUCGGAUUGUAGGCUGCAACUCGCCUGCAUGAAGCUGGAAUCGCUAGUAAUCGCAAAUCAGCCAUGUUGCGGUGAAUACGUUCCCGGGUCUUGUACUCACCGCCCGUCACACCAUGGGAGUUGUGUUUGCCUUAAGUCAGGAUGCUAAAUUAGCUACUGCCCACGGCACACACAGCGACUGGGGUGAAGUCGUAACAAGGUAACCGUAGGUGAACCUGCGGUUGGAUCACCUCCUUUCUAGA